rnacentral:lncRNA from 1 species
ACUCCUGUAAGGGCUUUCCUCAGCUCACCACUUGUGCAGUCUAAUUACUGCUUAUUCCUUGUUUUUAGGGCUUUUCUCUUCCUUCUUUCCUCUGAAUUUGGAGCAGUAUUUUGAAAAGGGCUGAGACAACACCUUAGAUCCAGGCUUGUGUCUUCCAGCAGAGUUUUCAGUAUGGUUGGUGCAUAUGGGUAAAAAGGAGGGGUUCUGCUGAUCAGUUUCCAAAUGGAAUUUUACAACCUUCUUUGGCAAGAGAAGACAACCACGUGCUGAAACCAGUUCAGGGCAGAUUAGGUACAUUGAGCCAUCCCCAGUGUGAGCUUCCAGUUAAAUCUGAUUUAAGAGGAUUGCCACAAUGA